rnacentral:rRNA from 1 species
UACAGAGGUCCCAAGCGUUGUUCGGAUUCACUGGGCGUAAAGGGUGCGCAGGUGGGUUUGCAAGUUCGAUGUGAAAGCCCCGGGCUUAACCCGGGAAUGGCAUUGGAUACUGCAGAUCUGGAGGAUCGGAGGGGGGACUGGAAUUCUUGGUGUAGCAGUGAAAUGCGUAGAUAUCAAGAGGAACACCAGUGGCGAAGGCGAAGUCCCUGGACGAUACCUGACACUGAGGCACGAAAGCUAGGGGAGCAAACAGG